GUGGCUGUAGUUCAAUUGGCAGAGCACAGGAUUGUGGUUCCUGUUGUCGUGGGUUCGAGCCCCAUCAGCCACCCCA
rnacentral:tRNA from 1 species